CAUUCAGCGUUUCGUAUUCUUAAUUAUGGUUUUGUUAUACACAUAUAUACUCGACGUGUGUAAUACUGUAUUCGAAUUUAACAAUACAAAAUCAAAACUACCUCAAAAAAAUGUAGAUCUAACAAAAUUUCAGCGGGAAAAAAACGCAAAAUAUCAAACUGUACAAGUGUACAUAUACAAUUUAAAUGCUGUGAAAUAUGGAAAAAGAUACAAAUGGAGAGAGAGAAGACAAAGUAACUUCCCAAAGAAAAAUCUGAUUUGGGACACACGGAGAGAGAGAGGAGAGAGAGAGAGACUUCCUCAGAACGUGGGAUU
rnacentral:lncRNA from 1 species